rnacentral:rRNA from 1 species
GACGAACGCUGGCGGCGUGCUUAACACAUGCAAGUCGAACGGAAAGGCCCUGCUUGCAGGGUACUCGAGUGGCGAACGGGUGAGUAACACGUGGGUGAUCUGCCCUGCACUUCGGGAUAAGCCUGGGAAACUGGGUCUAAUACCGGAUAGGAGCCAUUUUUAGUGUGAUGGUUGGAAAGUUUUUUCGGUGUAGGAUGAGCUCGCGGCCUAUCAGCUUGUUGGUGGGGUAAUGGCCUACCAAGGCGGCGGCGGGUAGCCGGCCUGAGAGGGUGGACGGCCACAUUGGGACUGAGAUACGGCCCAGACUCCUACGGGAGGCAGCAGUGGGGAAGAUUGCACAAUGGGCGCAAGCCUGAUGCAGCGACGCCGCGUGGGGGAUGACGGCCUUCGGGUUGUAAACUCCUUUCGCUAGGGACGAAGCUUUUUGUGACGGUACCUAGAUAAGAAGCACCGGCUAACUACGUG